rnacentral:lncRNA from 1 species
UUUAAUUAUAUAUUUAAUUAUAUAUUUAAUUAUGUAUUUAAUUAUGUAUUUAAUUAUAUAUUUAUGUAUUUAAUUAUAUAUUUAAUUAUAUAUUUAACUAUAUAUUUAAUUACAUAUUUAAUUAUUUAUUUAAUUACUUUAUUUUAUGAUUUUAAUUUAUGAUUUUAAUUUAUUAUUUAUUUCAUUUAUUUUUAUCUUUUAUUCGUGUUUUUAUUUACUCUAUCUUUUUACACAAAAUUACUUACUGUUUUUUUAUUUUUUACACUCAUCAUUUUUAUAAUUUUUGUCAGUUUUUUAUUUGAUUUAUUAAAAUUAUAUAUGAUCGUUUGUAUGGACGUAUCACAUGUAUAUAUAUAUAUCCAUCUUAUUUGUUUUUUUUACCAUCACCCACUUAGUAUUUUAAAUUAAAAAGUAAAUUACUACUUAUUUUUUUGAUUUCUAUUUUAUCCGUUCAUUUAGUUCAAAUUAUUAUUACUACUAACUAAUACUACUUCCUAUCACUACUACCUAUCGCUAGUAUAUAUCACUACUAUAUAUUACUAAUACUAGCUGCACUUCUCCCUUUUUAUAAAAAAAAAAAAAAAAAAAAAAAAAAACAUGGAAACAGAAAUAAAAAAUAAUAAUAAAAAUUUUGAAAAAGAGCUUAAAGUUGAAAUAAAUAAUAUAAACAGAAUUAUUUUAGAUAUACUAUGCUCAGAAGCGAUAAAAAAAAUAAAAUUUAUUUUACAUGUGCUAAAAGAAUUACUAAAAAAAAAAACGAACAUUUUAAAUGUUUAUUUAACUAAUGACAUUGACCAUUUAUCUACUGAAAAACAACAAAAGCAAAUAUUCAAUUCGUUACAAAAUCAAAUAGAAUUAUGCGAAAAUGAAAACGAUUAUAAUGUUAUAAAAAAAAAAAUAGAAGAUUAUAUUGAUACUUUAAGUCAAACCAAUAAAUUGUUGUGUCAAAAUUCACCUGUUGAUAGGAAUUUAAAAGAAAAUAGAGAUAAAAUAAUUGAAGAUGGUUCAAUGCUUUUAAAAAUUUUUAGGCAAAUUAAAAAACUUAACUUUUCAGCUGUUUUGAGUGAGUUGAAUAAAUUUAAGGAAGAAAACAAUUUACUUCUGAAUGUAAACAUACAAAAACGUACAUAUAUGUAUAUAUAUAUAUAUAUAUAUAUAAGUUUGUACACAUUUAUGUGUGUGUCACUUGUUCGUUCACAAAAUAUAUGCAGUUUCGGUAUAAGUUGUAUGUUAUUCUAUUCUUAACCAUCUCUUCUCUACAAGCACACACAUGUACCCGCCUCAUACGGCUUGCUUGAUAGCUUUCUACAAUAACCUUUUAUAUAACUAUUUUUUAUUACAACUCUUAUCUUUUAAUGCGCCAAUCGUUUUAUACAUUUGUCUUAUUUUCCCUUACUCAGUUGAAGCAAAAUGUUUAUCACAAAAAACAAAUAAUUAACAUUUUAAAUGAACAAAUAAAAGAGCAAAUCGAGAAUACA